GACAGGGUGGCCUAAUGGUUCGUGCGCUGGACUCUGCAUUGAGCGGUCCGGGUUUGAGCCCUGGCCCAGGGGUCA